rnacentral:rRNA from 1 species
UGCCGCGUGAGUGAAGAAGGCCUUCGGGUUGUAAAGCUCUUUCGGCGGGAACGAAAUGGUUCGUGCUAAUACCACGGACUGAUGACGGUACCUGAAGAAGAAGCACCGGCUAACUACGUGCCAGCAGCCGCGGUAAUACGUAGGGUGCAGGCGUUAAUCGGAAUUACUGGGCGUAAAGCGUGCGCAGGCGGUUUCUUAAGUCAGAUGUGAAAGCCCCGGGCUUAACCUGGGAACUGCGUUUGAAACUGGGAGACUUGAGUGUGGCAGAGGGGGGUGGAAUUCCACGUGUAGCAGUGAAAUGCGUAGAUAUGUGGAGGAACACCGAUGGCGAAGGCAGGCCCCUGGGCUAACACUGACGCUCAAGCACGAAAGCGUGGGGAGCAAACAGGAUUAGAUACCCUGGUAGUCCACGCCCUAAACUAUGUCAACUGGUUGUCGGGGGAUUAACUCCCUUGGUAACGAAGCUAACGCGUGAAGUUGACCGCCUGGGGAGUACGGGCGCAAGGUUAAAACUCAAAGGAAUUGACGGGGACCCGCACAAGCGGUGGAUUAUGUGGAUUAAUUCGAUGCAACGCGAAAAACCUUACCUACCCUUGACAUGUACGGAAUCCUUCAGAGAUGGAGGGGUGCCCGAAAGGGACCGUAACAAAGUGCUGCAUGGCUGUCGUCA